CCUACGGGUGGCAGCAGUGAGGAAUAUUGGUCAAUGGGCGCAAGCCUGAACCAGCCAAGUAGCGUGAAUGAUGACUGCCCUACGGGUUGUAAACUUCUUUUAUGAAGGAAUAAAUUUAGUCACUUGUGCCUUUUUGUAUUUACGUUAUGAAUAAGGAUCGGCUAACUCCGUGCCAGCAGCCGCGGUAAUACGGAGGAUCCGAGCGUUAUCCUGAUUUAUUUGGUUUAAAGGGAGCGUAGACGGGUUGUUAAGUCAGUUGUGAAAGUUUGCGGCUCAACCGUAAAAUUGCAAUUGAUACUGGCAGUCUUGAGUAUAGUUGAGGUAGGCGGAAUUCGUGGUGUAGCGGUGAAAUGCUUAGAGAUCACGAAGAACUCCGAUUGCGAAGGCAGCUCACUAAACUGCCACUGACAUUGAUGCUCGAAAGUGUGGGUAUCAAACAGGAUUAGAUACCCUGGUAGUC
rnacentral:rRNA from 1 species